rnacentral:rRNA from 1 species
GACGAACGCUGGCGGCGUGCUUAACACAUGCAAGUCGAACGGUAAGGCCCUUCGGGGUACACGAGUGGCGAACGGGUAAGUAACACGUGGGUGAUCUGCCCUGCACUUCGGGAUAAGCCUGGGAAACUGGGUCUAAUACCGGAUAGGACCACUGCCUGCAUGGGUGGUGGUGGAAAGCUUUUGCGGUGUGGGAUGGGCCCGCGGCCUAUCAGCUUGUUGGUGGGGUGAUGGCCUACCAAGGCGACGACGGGUAGCCGGCCUGAGAGGGUGACCGGCAACACUGGGACUGAGAUACGGCCCAGACUCCUACGGGAGGCAGCAGUGGGGAAUAUUGCACAAUGGGCGCAAGCCUGAUGCAGCGACGCCGCGUGAGGGAUGACGGCCUUCGGGUUGUAAACCUCUUUCAGCACCGACGAAGCGCAAGUGACGGUAGGUGCAGAAGAAGGACCGGCCAACUACGUGCCAGCAGCCGCCGCCG